rnacentral:lncRNA from 1 species
ACACAUACAAAUUUGUAAUUUUUCUCAAUUUGCGCCUUUUUUCAUUAAAGCAAGUGCUUUACUUAUGCUUUGCGCAUAAAGACCCAACAGACCUUAGAACUUUUUUGCGCUUUCACUUUUGAUAAUACUGCAAUCAACCCCAACGUUGAGGACGAUCAGUCACAAGACACCACAGGUACAUUUCAAUAUUGUGGUUGACAACCUUCGACUAGCCAUCCGAUUGAGGAUGAUAAGAAGAACAGAGUGCAUACUUAGUCCCUCACAAACGAAAAAGUUCCCUCCAAAAGUGACUGGUGAAAACUACAUC